GGCGUGUACUGCUUGGCUGGGCCUUACUUCUUGGUGAGCCGGCGUGCCCUUUAUUGGUGUGCGUCGGGGAACCAGGACUUUUACCUUGAGAAAAUUAGAGUGUUCAAAGCAGGCCUAUGCCUGAAUACAUUAGCAUGGAAUAAUAGAAUAGGACGUGCGGUUCUAUUUUGUUGGUUUCUAGAGUCGCAGUAAUGAUUAAUAGGGACAGUUGGGGGCAUUGGUAUUGAGUCGCUAGAGGUGAAAUUCUUGGAUUGACUCAAGACCGACUAUUGCGAAAGCAUUUGCCAAGGAUGUUUUCAUUAAUCAAGAACGAAGGUUAGGGGAUCGAAAACGAUCAGAUACCGUUGUAGUCUUAACAGUAAACUAUGCCGACUAGGGAUCGGAUGACCUCAAAAUUGAUGUGUCAUUCGGCACCUUACGAGAAAUCAAAGUCUUUGGGUUCUGGGGGGGAGUAUGGUCGCAAGGCUGAAACUUAAAGGAAUUGACGGAAGGGCACCACCAGGUGUGGAGCCUGCGGCUUAAUUUGACUCAACACGGGGAAACUCACCAGGUCCAGACAUAACUAGGAUUGACAGAUUGAUAGCUCUUUCAUGAUUUUAUGGGUGGUGGUGCAUGGCCGUUCUUAGUUGGUGGAGUGAUUUGUCUGGUUAAUUCCGAUAACGAACGAGACCUUAACCUGCUAAAUAGCCAGGCCGGCUUCGGCUGGUCUCUGGCUUCUUAGAGGGACUGUCAG
rnacentral:rRNA from 1 species